rnacentral:rRNA from 1 species
UAGGGAAUCUUCCACAAUGGACGCAAGCCUGAUGGAGCAACGCCGCGUGAGUGAAGAAGGCUUUCGGAUCGUAAAGCCCUGUUGUUGGUGAAGAAGGAUAGAGGCAGUAACUGGUCUUUAUUUGACGGUAAUCAACCAGAAAGUCACGGCUAACUACGUGCCAGCAGCCGCGGUAAUACGUAGGUGGCAAGCGUUGUCCGGAUUUAUUGGGCGUAAAGCGAGCGCAGGCGGAAUGAUAAGUCUGAUGUGAAAGCCCACGGCUCAACCGUGGAACUGCAUCGGAAACUGUCAUUCUUGAGUGCAGAAGAGGAGAGUGGAAUUCCAUGUGUAGCGGUGGAAUGCGUAGAUAUAUGGAAGAACACCAGUGGCGAAGGCGGCUCUCUGGUCUGCAACUGACGCUGAGGAUCGAAAGCAUGGGUAGCGAACAGG